rnacentral:rRNA from 1 species
CCUACGGGUGGCAGCAGUGAGGAAUAUUGGUCAAUGGACGAGAGUCUGAACCAGCCAAGUAGCGUGAAGGAUGACUGCCCUAUGGGUUGUAAACUUCUUUUAUAUGGGAAUAAAAUGUUCCACGUGUGGGAUUUUGUAUGUACCAUAUGAAUAAGGAUCGGAUAACUCCGUGCCAGCAGCUGCGGUAAUACGGAGGAUCCGAGCGUUAUCCGGAUUUAUUGGGUUUAAAGGGAGCGUAGGUGGAUUGUUAAGUCAGUUGUGAAAGUUUGCGGCUCAACCGUAAAAUUGCAGUUGAAACUGGCAGUCGUGAGUACAGUAGAGGGGGGCGGAAUGCGUGGUGUAGCGGUGAAAUGCUUAGAUAUCACGAAGAACUCCGAUUGCGAAGGCAGCUCACUGGACUGCAACUGACACUGAGGCUCGAAAGUGUGGGUAUCAAACAGGAUUAGAUACCCUAGUAGUC